rnacentral:rRNA from 1 species
ACGGGGCUAAACCAUGCACCGAAGCUGCGGCAGCGACACUGUGUGUUGUUGGGUAGGGGAGCGUUCUGUAAGCCUGUGAAGGUGUGUCGUGAGGCAUGCUGGAGGUAUCAGAAGUGCGAAUGCUGACAUAAGUAACGAUAAAGCGGGUGAAAAGCCCGCUCGCCGGAAGACCAAGGGUUCCUGUCCAACGUUAAUCGGGGCAGGGUGAGUCGACCCCUAAGGCGAGGCCGAAAGGCGUAGUCGAUGGGAAACGGGUUAAUAUUCCCGUACUUGGUGUUACUGCGAAGGGGGGACGGAGAAGGCUAUGUUGGCCGGGCGACGGUUGUCCCGGUUUAAGCGUGUAGGUGUGUGUUCCAGGUAAAUCCGGUUCACUUUAACACUGAGGCGUGACGACGAGGCACUACGGUGCUGAAGCAACAAAUGCCCUGCUUCCAGGAAAAGCCUCUAAGCAUCAGGUAACAUCAAAUCGUACCCCAAACCGACACAGGUGGUCAGGUAGAGAAUACCAAGGCGCUUGAGAGAACUCGGGUGAAGGAACUAGGCAAAAUGGUGCCGUAACUUCGGGAGAAGGCACGCUGACACGUAGGUGAAGUGAUUUACUCAUGGAGCUGAAGUCAGUCGAAGAUACCAGCUGGCUGCAACUGUUUAUUAAAAACACAGCACUGUGCAAACACGAAAGUGGACGUAUACGGUGUGACGCCUGCCCGGUGCCGGAAGGUUAAUUGAUGGGGUCAGCGCAAGCGAAGCUCCUGAUCGAAGCCCCGGUAAACGGCGGCCGUAACUAUAACGGUCCUAAGGUAGCGAAAUUCCUUGUCGGGUAAGUUCCGACCUGCACGAAUGGCGUAAUGAUGGCCAGGCUGUCUCCACCCGAGACUCAGUGAAAUUGAACUCGCUGUGAAGAUGCAGUGUACCCGCGGCAAGACGGAAAGACCCCGUGAACCUUUACUAUAGCUUGACACUGAACAUUGAGCCUUGAUGUGUAGGAUAGGUGGGAGGCUUUGAAGUGUGGACGCCAGUCUGCAUGGAGCCGACCUUGAAAUACCACCCUUUAAUGUUUGAUGUUCUAACGUGGACCCGUUACCCGGGUUGCGGACAGUGUCUGGUGGGUAGUUUGACUGGGGCGGUCUCCUCCUAAAGAGUAACGGAGGAGCACGAAGGUUGGCUAAUCCUGGUCGGACAUCAGGAGGUUAGUGCAAUGGCAUAAGCCAGCUUGACUGCGAGCGUGACGGCGCGAGCAGGUGCGAAAGCAGGUCAUAGUGAUCCGGUGGUUCUGAAUGGAAGGGCCAUCGCUCAACGGAUAAAAGGUACUCCGGGGAUAACAGGCUGAUACCGCCCAAGAGUUCAUAUCGACGGCGGUGUUUGGCACCUCGAUGUCGGCUCAUCACAUCCUGGGGCUGAAGUAGGUCCCAAGGGUAUGGCUGUUCGCCAUUUAAAGUGGUACGCGAGCUGGGUUUAGAACGUCGUGAGACAGUUCGGUCCCUAUCUGCCGUGGGCGCUGGAGAACUGAGGGGGGCUGCUCCUAGUACGAGAGGACCGGAGUGGACGCAUCACUGGUGUUCGGGUUGUCAUGCCAAUGGCACUGCCCGGUAGCUAAAUGCGGAAGAGAUAAGUGCUGAAAGCAUCUAAGCACGAAACUUGCCCCGAG